rnacentral:rRNA from 1 species
UACGGGGGGGGGCAAGCGUUGUUCGGAAUUACUGGGCGUAAAGGGCUCGUAGGUGGCCAACUAAGUCAGACGUGAAAUCCCCAGGCUCAACUUGGGAACUGCGUCUGAUACUGGAUGGCUUGAAUUCGGGAGAGGGAUGCAGAAUUCCAGGUGUAGCGGUGAAAUGCGUAGAUAUCUGGAGGAAUACCGGUGGCGAAGGCGGCAUCCUGGACCGAUAUUGACACUGAUGAGCGAAAGCAUGGGGAGCGAACAGG